rnacentral:rRNA from 1 species
GGUUAAGCGACUAAGCGUACACGGUGGAUGCCCUGGCAGUCAGAGGCGAUGAAGGACGUGCUAAUCUGCGAUAAGCGUCGGUAAGGUGAUAUGAACCGUUAUAACCGGCGAUUUCCGAAUGGGGAAACCCAGUGUGUUUCGACACACUAUCAUUAACUGAAUCCAUAGGUUAAUGAGGCGAACCGGGGGAACUGAAACAUCUAAGUACCCCGAGGAAAAGAAAUCAACCGAGAUUCCCCCAGUAGCGGCGAGCGAACGGGGAGCAGCCCAGAGCCUGAAUCAGUAUGUGUGUUAGUGGAAGCGUCUGGAAAGGCGCGCGAUACAGGGUGACAGCCCCGUACACAAAAAUGCACAUAUUGUGAGCUCGAUGAGUAGGGCGGGACACGUGGUAUCCUGUCUGAAUAUGGGGGGACCAUCCUCCAAGGCUAAAUACUCCUGACUGACCGAUAGUGAACCAGUACCGUGAGGGAAAGGCGAAAAGAACCCCGGCGAGGGGAGUGAAAAAGAACCUGAAACCGUGUACGUACAAGCAGUGGGAGCACGCUUAGGCGUGUGACUGCGUACCUUUUGUAUAAUGGGUCAGCGACUUAUAUUCUGUAGCAAGGUUAACCGAAUAGGGGAGCCGAAGGGAAACCGAGUCUUAACUGGGCGUUAAGUUGCAGGGUAUAGACCCGAAACCCGGUGAUCUAGCCAUGGGCAGGUUGAAGGUUGGGUAACACUAACUGGAGGACCGAACCGACUAAUGUUGAAAAAUUAGCGGAUGACUUGUGGCUGGGGGUGAAAGGCCAAUCAAACCGGGAGAUAGCUGGUUCUCCCCGAAAGCUAUUUAGGUAGCGCCUCGUGAACUCAUCUCCGGGGGUAGAGCACUGUUUCGGCAAGGGGGUCAUCCCGACUUACCAACCCGAUGCAAACUGCGAAUACCGGAGAAUGUUAUCACGGGAGACACACGGCGGGUGCUAACGUCCGUCGUGAAGAGGGAAACAACCCAGACCGCCAGCUAAGGUCCCAAAGUCAUGGUUAAGUGGGAAACGAUGUGGGAAGGCCCAGACAGCCAGGAUGUUGGCUUAGAAGCAGCCAUCAUUUAAAGAAAGCGUAAUAGCUCACUGGUCGAGUCGGCCUGCGCGGAAGAUGUAACGGGGCUAAACCAUGCACCGAAGCUGCGGCAGCGACGCUUAUGCGUUGUUGGGUAGGGGAGCGUUCUGUAAGCCUGCGAAGGUGUGCUGUGAGGCAUGCUGGAGGUAUCAGAAGUGCGAAUGCUGACAUAAGUAACGAUAAAGCGGGUGAAAAGCCCGCUCGCCGGAAGACCAAGGGUUCCUGUCCAACGUUAAUCGGGGCAGGGUGAGUCGACCCCUAAGGCGAGGCCGAAAGGCGUAGUCGAUGGGAAACAGGUUAAUAUUCCUGUACUUGGUGUUACUGCGAAGGGGGGACGGAGAAGGCUAUGUUGGCCGGGCGACGGUUGUCCCGGUUUAAGCGUGUAGGCUGGUUUUCCAGGCAAAUCCGGAAAAUCAAGGCUGAGGCGUGAUGACGAGGCACUACGGUGCUGAAGCAACAAAUGCCCUGCUUCCAGGAAAAGCCUCUAAGCAUCAGGUAACAUCAAAUCGUACCCCAAACCGACACAGGUGGUCAGGUAGAGAAUACCAAGGCGCUUGAGAGAACUCGGGUGAAGGAACUAGGCAAAAUGGUGCCGUAACUUCGGGAGAAGGCACGCUGAUAUGUAGGUGAGGUCCCUCGCGGAUGGAGCUGAAAUCAGUCGAAGAUACCAGCUGGCUGCAACUGUUUAUUAAAAACACAGCACUGUGCAAACACGAAAGUGGACGUAUACGGUGUGACGCCUGCCCGGUGCCGGAAGGUUAAUUGAUGGGGUCAGCGCAAGCGAAGCUCUUGAUCGAAGCCCCGGUAAACGGCGGCCGUAACUAUAACGGUCCUAAGGUAGCGAAAUUCCUUGUCGGGUAAGUUCCGACCUGCACGAAUGGCGUAAUGAUGGCCAGGCUGUCUCCACCCGAGACUCAGUGAAAUUGAACUCGCUGUGAAGAUGCAGUGUACCCGCGGCAAGACGGAAAGACCCCGUGAACCUUUACUAUAGCUUGACACUGAACAUUGAGCCUUGAUGUGUAGGAUAGGUGGGAGGCUUAGAAGUGUGGACGCCAGUCUGCAUGGAGCCGACCUUGAAAUACCACCCUUUAAUGUUUGAUGUUCUAACGUUGACCCGUAAUCCGGGUUGCGGACAGUGUCUGGUGGGUAGUUUGACUGGGGCGGUCUCCUCCUAAAGAGUAACGGAGGAGCACGAAGGUUGGCUAAUCCUGGUCGGACAUCAGGAGGUUAGUGCAAUGGCAUAAGCCAGCUUGACUGCGAGCGUGACGGCGCGAGCAGGUGCGAAAGCAGGUCAUAGUGAUCCGGUGGUUCUGAAUGGAAGGGCCAUCGCUCAACGGAUAAAAGGUACUCCGGGGAUAACAGGCUGAUACCGCCCAAGAGUUCAUAUCGACGGCGGUGUUUGGCACCUCGAUGUCGGCUCAUCACAUCCUGGGGCUGAAGUAGGUCCCAAGGGUAUGGCUGUUCGCCAUUUAAAGUGGUACGCGAGCUGGGUUUAGAACGUCGUGAGACAGUUCGGUCCCUAUCUGCCGUGGGCGCUGGAGAACUGAGGGGGGCUGCUCCUAGUACGAGAGGACCGGAGUGGACGCAUCACUGGUGUUCGGGUUGUCAUGCCAAUGGCACUGCCCGGUAGCUAAAUGCGGAAGAGAUAAGUGCUGAAAGCAUCUAAGCACGAAACUUGCCCCGAGAUGAGUUCUCCCUGACCCUUUAAGGGUCCUGAAGGAACGUUGAAGACGACGACGUUGAUAGGCCGGGUGUGUAAGCGCAGCGAUGCGUUGAGCUAACCGGUACUAAUGAACCGUGAGGCUUAACCUU